rnacentral:rRNA from 1 species
UACGUAGGGGCCGAGCGUUGUCCGGAGUUAUUGGGCGUAAAGCGCGCGCAGGCGGCUUGGCGCGCCCGACGUGAAAGCCCCCGGCUUAACCGGGGAGAGUCGUCGGGGACGGCCGGGCUUGAGGGCGGGAGAGGGUGGUGGAAUUCCCGGUGUAGUGGUGAAAUGCGUAGAGAUCGGGAGGAACACCUGUGGCGAAGGCGGCCACCUGGGACGACCCUGACGCUGAGGCGCGAAGGCGUGGGGAGCGAACGGG